rfam:Oryctolagus cuniculus unplaced genomic scaffold chrTn0141, whole genome shotgun sequence.
UGAGUGGCUUUAUUUAAAGCCACAGCAGAACAUGUAGCACAUUGUAU